CCAAGAAAACAUCUAAGAAAAGUGUUCAAAGAGGCCGGAACAAGAUAAUUUAACCACCGGUAGAGGUCAAACUUGGACAUCGAUCGAAGAGAUGGCGUUAGCAAGGGCGUGGACCAAUACGUCUACGUGUCCGAUCGUAAUAAUCAAAAGUCUGAUAGUUUUUUGAAGGAGGUUUGCAACAAAUUUCAUGCUUUGAUGCAAAAAGAACCGUACCGAAAAGUGAACUCAAUAGGCUCAAAGUAUCGAGAGAUGAAUAAGAAGAUAUCGGCAUUUUGUGGUUAUUACAACAAUGCUCAUUCGAAUCGGCCAAGUGGGGCGAGUGAUGAAACGGUUUUUGCCAUAACUAUGUCAAAAUACCAUACGAAAGAAGGUAGUGCGUUCACAUACGUAGGGGCUUGGGAAAUCUUUAAAAAUUGUUCCAAGUGG
rnacentral:lncRNA from 1 species